UACGUAGGCAGCGAGCGUUGUUCGGAGUUACUGGGCGUAAAGGGUGUGUAGGCGGUUGUUUAAGUUUGGUGUGAAAUCUCCCGGCUCAACUGGGAGGGUGCGCCGAAUACUGAAUGACUAGAGUGCGGGAGAGGAAAGUGGAAUUCCUGGUGUAGCGGUGAAAUGCGCAGAUAUCAGGAGGAACACCAACGGCGAAGGCAGCUCUCUGGGACGUUACUGACGCUGAGACGCGAAAGCGUGGGGAGCAAACAGG
rnacentral:rRNA from 1 species